CUGAUCAUAUUCCUAUGAACAUCAUUAUUAACAUUCCUUAUUACGCCCCAACGCACACGUCGUAAGGCGUCGUGACGUACGGUCAUUGUGGGUGUACCCAGUACCCGUCCUCCGAAUAUUCACAAAUCGAUACUCGAUGUGAAUCAUAAUCGAUAACUCUGCGUCGUCAGAAUAUUCUGUCCACUGACCAACCACCACGUGCCCAACAUAAUUGGCAAAUUAUUUAAUUAUUGAAACUGUCAGAAUAAAAAAAAACACAGCCCACAAAUAUCUGGGCGUUUAAGCAUAAAUUAAAUUGAUUCCCGACACAUGAGAUCGCCAACCAUACCGUUCACUCCCCAUACCGGUCACACCGCCGCAUUUACCUUCUCAUGCAUCACCAUUACAUAGCCCCAUUGAGACAUACGAGCCAACACCGACUCCCAUAUGGUAGGGAAUCUAAACACAUGAAAUGGCAAAGCACAACACAUGAAGGCAAACCGACCAGUACAGCCCUCUGGCCAUCCCCAAUUGCUGGGGCUCUUCAGAACACACCCGUGGCAGGGCAGACAAUAGCCGCAGAGGGCCAUGCAACAAAACUUCGAGGGCUGCAAGUACACGCGUAAGACAUCGAUGUGCAUGGAUAGGAGUCAUCGCCUAGAGUUCAGUCACGUGGGGAACUCCCACACCCUGUUGGUCUCAUGCCGGGCAAUAUGCCUGGUGUGCAAUAUCAAAAAGGUGACGUCAUCUAACUGAGUCCGUUUUACCACCC